UGUAAGCUACUUUGCAUAUUGUCAGUUGACUAUAUAUUACACCAGUCUUUUGACUCAACUCAGCAGUAUUAGAGGUACAUCAUUCAGGUAAGAAACGUCAAGAAAUACACAUGGAAAAUUACGUACUGCUAUGGCUGGCUAAAUGUCAACUGACUUUUGUAAAUGAUUUCUCAAGACUAAUGUGUGUGAGAGACACUAGGUAGUUAAGAGUACUUUAAUCAGUCUUCUUUAAUCUAUUUUUUAUUAAAAACAUAAGCUACUUUUAUAUAAGAAUUAAAAUGCUAUUUUUGAAAUUUAUAAUGCAAAACAUAUUUUACAGGCAUAUUCAGCUGCCUCAAAAUUGGAAACUCUGUUUCUGUGGAUUGUUUUGGAGUUUUCACUCCAUCUCAGAACAGGUGAGUCUUUUGUAGCAGACAAGAAAUGCUGUAUUGCUUCUGAUUUUAUGUUUUGGUUUAGAUGUGAGCCUGGCACAUAAUGUGUUGUAUAAUGUAGUUGUGUAGCAAGUAUUAAGUGCCAUCCAACCAAUGCUGUAAGUACCUGAUGAUAUCUUUGUUGGCUUUUAUAGUGCAGAUGCAGUUACUGGCAUUUGUAUUUUAGUGGAACAUAAACAAAUUAAAACUUCCUAUCUUUUUCCCCUCAGUAUUAACAAAGGAAGCAAUCAUCACUUGUCUGCUGUUUUGAAUUCACAGUACAUAUGUAUGUUCAACUUGGAUCUUUUCCCACAUGUAGUGAGGCAACUUAUUCUGUAAUUUAACAUGCAUUUGUGUUCAGCAUUUGCCUUUGCUAGCACCUAGCAUACUAAAGCAUCUGUUCUAGAACUUGCUUUCCCUUUAUAUAACGUAGCAUGCUAAAAUAGAUUCUCAACUCAGUGAAAAAUGUGAAGCUCUAGGUAGUAAAAUUCAUUGUAUCAAAUGAUACAGAACACAAAUCUAUUUUGAUAAAUAUAACUUUAUGCACAGGGAAAAUAGGCCCAAACAAGCAAUCAUACAAUUCCUUCCCUUCUCAAUGGAGUGGGUAUGAAGGUAUUAGAGAAGCUGCAAGUCAUGGUGAAGAAGUUGGAUUAAUGGCAAAAUUCUUCCAUCAGAUACUGCACUAUUCCUCUGUGAAUAUUGAAUGUUUGGUAUUUUUGUAUUUUUUUUAAUAGGUGGUGAUACUGGGCAUUUCCAGUACUGUUAGGAAAUUCUUCUGUAGUCUUUCCUUUUAGGACGGCAUGAUGUAACCUGAUUUUAAGAGUGGCACGUAGAUGUGGAAGUGGAUGUUAUUCUGGCUGGACUCUGCAUCAACAAAGAUUGUGUGCAAUCCCUGUGAACAGAUCCUGGUAAAAUACUGUCUGCUUUAAACUUUUUAAAUGUGGCUUUCAGUUAGAAAAAUAAUCAGUGCUGGAAUGCUAAGAUUAAAGGACUCCUGACAUAGCUUGAUAACCUUGUACAGUAUAGCUUCCUAUUGAUGGUGCUUUUGCAAUCUCUUUUUAAUCUUCGGAGUGUGAUUUGAGCAGUUAAAACCCAAUCCAGAGUAGUUUAUCUGUGGUACCUAUAGUUAGGCCUCUUGUAGAGAGAAGGUGGAAGCAUCCUCCAUUUAUGGACACCAUGAAUUGGAAAGGGAUUACCAAGAAUAUGCUGAUCUCUGCAAUACUCUCAUAUUCAUUCACUUUAGCUGCAGAAGCCUUUCUUCCUAAUACAGUACUUCAUUACUGAAGGUCUAUGAUCUGGACGUUUUUUGUCAUCCUUUUAAUAUGAAGCUAAGCUGACUCUCAGAUCAUUGCAAGUCAGUGGGAGCAAACUGUUUAAAACAAACGUGGGUCCCUCCAAGAAAUGCAUUUCUCUCAUAGAACUGGCGUAGCACUUCACAGACACAAGAUUGAGGGCCCCACACAAGAAAUUUUCAAACCAAUUAAAACAAAGAAGUGGUAGGAUAACAGAGCAAGCUGUCAAGCUUUCAGUGGACGUUUAUGUUCAGUGGGGGUGCUAGUUACUUGAGCUGUAAUCUAAAUGGUUUUGGGGGAAGUGGGAGAGUACAUGGGGCUGGAUAGGAUGUUGCUUAACAUGCCAGACUUGUUUAUAUAACAUCAGCAAUGAGUACUAAUUUCUGUCCAUUUCAGCCUGAGCUGGGAUCGGUUUGUGACGUUUGUUUCCACGUGCCUAUUAAAUUGGAGCUCAAGAAGCAGCUUGAUUGCUGUUCCGUUUAGGAAGGUGUACAGAGUUGUGUUGUCUUUACUUAGCACUUUUUGGUAGCUGGUUCUGUGGGGAAUGGAUCAGUCCUUGUUUGCAGAUCACAAGUACUGCAGCAUGAUGACAGCACACGAUAAAGUCUCAUGCACCAACUUUAUAACUCAUGGUUAUCCCUUCUCCAGUGGAUCCUUCAUCACUCAUCCUGCCUGGGUUACCAGCUCCCUUAGCCCUGUAAGGUGCUCAUGGAUCAGGCACUGUCCCUGUUUCCCUGAAACAAUAUGUAAGGGUCUCAUGGUGCUGGAAAAAUCUAUGGACUUUGCUAAUGUUCCUGUUCUGGCAAGAAGGGAGUCAGAUGGGUUUUAUUACCGAGGUACAAUAAAACAGGAGAUCAAGGAGGAGAGUGGAAUGUAUCUGAUAGAGUUUGCCAAGCCACCUGCACUGGGUGAAAAGUAUCCAGCAUACGUGCAAAAAACAUCCAAGGAUGACAUCCUUGAGUAUAGCCAUGGAAUGAGUCACUGCAUACUCCCUGGAGACAAAGUUCUGGCACCCUGGGAACCAGACAUGGUGAGAUAUGGCCCUGGCACUGUUGUACCGGUCAUUGAGACCAGGGAUCCGCUGAGAGCCUCAGAGGAUGAAGAAAUUACAGUCCAUUUCUGGAAUGGCAAAAAAGUGAAAGUACCACUAGGUGUGGCCUUAUGGAUUCCACCAAAUUUGUGGGAUAGGAUUAUAGAUAUGAUCCACAUGCCCUUCACCAGCAGUUUAAAGCUUAUGGAAGCCCUCCAGAGCACUAGCUGUUGCAAUUUGUGUUGCAGACCUCUGAAAACUCCUGUUCAUGCAUACACUUUAGAUAGGCGUAGUGCAUGCAGGUGGCCAUGCACUAUCACCUGGACCCCCUUCCACUGUCAUUACCAUAGUACAUGCUGUUCACUGGCACAUGCACAAUGCAUCUGCUACCACCAUCCCAAAGUCAGUACCUGGUGGCCUAUACCAUCCAAGUCUCCACUACUUCUGAGAGACACUGAACAAAAACAGCCCGACAACAGUAUCAGUAUGAAACUUUUAGAAUUGGAAGCUCCAAAAGAAGAAGAAGAAUCAGCAGUUGUUGGUGCUGAUGCUGGUGCUGCUGCCUCCUCCUCUAGCUCCUCUGAUUCAGAAAGUGACUCAGAGAUGUGCUUAACUAAGAGCAUGAUGGUGGACAGUGCUGUUAACACAGAUUCUAGCCUUUUCGAAAAGUCCACGUUGAAAGAUGCUGUGAAACCUCAGUGGAGAUACUGGAAGAGAAGCCACCCCAAGUCACUUCCCCGGAGUCCAGGAAUCUGUGUUCCUAGCAAUACAUGGGCAAAGGACAAACUGAAAUCCAAAACUAUUUGUUUGGAGGCGUCACCUAUUGCAGCAAUCAACCAGAGUGCAAUGUUUCAAACUACUGAACAGUCUCCUCGAAGACAACUCACAAUGAAGGAAGCCUUAAUCCACCAGAACUUCAAACCAUCAUUGGGGGCCAUCCCUCCUUUAGAGAAAUCUGGAGAAAAUCAACACUGCAAGAGCACAUGCAUAGACCAGCAAAGGAAGCAGCAAGUCCUGCAGCAGAAAGAGGAAUGUGAAGGGGAAUGUCAGGCUGAACACAGAUGCCACACUGCACUGGAAAUCUGUGGAGAAAUGAUGGUGAAACAUCUUGAGCAGGAAGACAUGAAGCAGAGCCAGAUAACAAAAGCAAAGCAACUUGGGCAGCAGAGAAGAAACCUGAAAAUACAGACCAUGUCAGAGACAGAUAGGCACAAAGAACAGCAGAGACUAACAAACCUGGAAACAGGUCAGAGAGAAACAUGAUCAGAAGGAAAGGAAUAAGUGUACAGCUGAAGAAGUCAGCGAUACAAUCUCAGAUAACAAGCUGCUUGCUGCAAGAUGAUAGCCAACAUCAAAGGACAAAGAUGAUAUAAAUUAUGAUGAGGUUUGCUUACAGAUUUUAAUUCAAAAGAUAUGCCACAGCAGUGUGUUCCAAAAGGCAGAAUUGGAAGAAAUCAAUGUACAGUUUCCAAGAUAUUUCCAGUAAGCUAAUGAGACUUGAUCACUAGGUUCCUUGAGUCACUGCUAAAUUACAAUUUCAGGGUAAAAUAUGUUCAAAGAUGAAAGAACAUGGCUUUUUAGAACUCUGCAAGUAACAGCAGGACUGUGAAAACAGGCAUUUUAUUUGUCACUCCUUAGGUUCUGUUGAUCAUAAAUAAAGAAACAGUCCACAAAAA